GUCAGGGGUGAAAGACGGUAGCUCAACUAUCGCAGUGCCCUUGAUACUGAUGGGCUUGAAUGGACUAGAGGUAGGCGGAAUGAGACAAGUAGCGGUGAAAUGCAUAGAUAUGUCUCAGAACACCGAUUGCGAAGGCAGCUUACUAUGGUCUUAUUGACGCUGAGGCACGAAAGCGUGGGGAUCAAACAGGAUUAGAUACCCUGGUAGUCCACGCCCUAAACGAUGAACACUCGCUGUUGGCGAUACACAGUCAGCGGCUAAGCGAAAGCGUUAAGUGUUCCACCUGGGGAGUACGCCCGCAAGGGUGAAACUCAAAGGAAUUGACGGGGGCCCGCACAAGCGGAGGAGCAUGUGGUUUAAUUCGAUGAUACGCGAGGAACCUUACCCGGGCUUGAAAGUUAGUGAAUGAUUUAGAGAUAGAUCAGUCCGCAAGGACACGAAACUAGGUGCUGCAUGGCUGUCGUCAGCUCGUGCCGUGAGGUGUUGGGUUAAGUCCCGCAACGAGCGCAACCCCUAUGUUUAGUUGCCAGCAUGUCAUGAUGGGGACUCUAAACAGACUGCCUGUGCAAACAGAGAGGAAGGAGGGGACGACGUCAAGUCAUCAUGGCCCUUACGUCCGGGGCUACACACGUGCUACAAUGGAUGGUACAGAGGGCAGCUAGCCGGCAACGGUAUGCGAAUCUCACAAAGCCAUUCACAGUUCGGAUUGGGGUCUGCAACUCGACCCCAUGAAGUUGGAUUCGCUAGUAAUCGCGUAUCAGCAAUGACGCGGUGAAUACGUUCCCGGGCCUUGUACACACCGCCCGUCAAGCCAUGGAAGCUGGGGGUACCUAAAGUAUGUAACCGCAAGGAGCGUCCUAGGGUAAAACCGGUAACUGGGGCGAAGUCGUA
rnacentral:rRNA from 1 species